rnacentral:rRNA from 1 species
GACGAACGCUGGCGGCGUGCUUAACACAUGCAAGUCGAACGGAAAGGCCCUGCUUGCAGGGUACUCGAGUGGCGAACGGGUGAGUAACACGUGGGUGAUCUGCCCUGCACUUCGGGAUAAGCCUGGGAAACUGGGUCUAAUACCGGAUAGGAGCCAUCUUUAGUGUGAUGGUUGGAAAGUUUUUUCGGUGUAGGGUGAGCUCGCGGCCUAUCAGCUUGUUGGUGGGGUAAUGGCCUACCAAGGCGGCGACGGGUAGCCGGCCUGAGAGGGUGGACGGCCACAUUGGGACUGGGAUACGGCCCAGACUCCUACGGGGGGCAGCGGUGGGGAAUAUUGCACAAUGGGCGCAAGCCUGAUGCAGCGACGCCACGUGGGGGAUGACGGCCUUCGGGUUGUAAACUCCUUUCGCUAGGGACGAAGCUUUUUGUGACGGUACCUAGAUAAGAAGCACCGGCUAACUACGUG